UACGGGGGGAGCAAGCGUUGUUCGGAUUUACUGGGCGUAAAGGGCGCGUAGGCGGUCAGCACAAGUCAGUUGUGAAAUCUCCGGGCUUAACUCGGAAAGGUCAACUGAUACUGUGCGACUAGAGUGCAGAAGGGGCAACUGGAAUUCUCGGUGUAGCGGUGAAAUGUGUAGAUAUCGAGAGGAACACCUGCGGCGAAGGCGGGUUGCUGGGCUGACACUGACGCUGAUGCGCGAAAGCCAGGGGAGCGAACGGG
rnacentral:rRNA from 1 species